UAUUCCCCUUAAUAACCAUUAUUACCUUGAUUUUGGUCUCACUUAGAGGUCUUUUAUGCCAGUGUAACCAUGGUUAUUUUAGUGGAUUGAUACCCAUUUUACUUUGGUAUAAAACUAUGCCCUACAGUUUUUUUUUUUUAUUACUACAACCUUUAAAGUUUAACAUCAUCCCUUCAAAACAGCCUCCCUGCUCCUUUAAGAAACAAGCCAGGGAACAACCCAGUGUUGCAGACACUGGGGUACUUUAGAAUCCCUUUUUCACACUGCUGUAGACAUAUACAGACAUCCUAAAAAUCUACACCUACCCAACCCCAUUUGCUUUAAAGAGAGAAAAAUGUAAUAAAUUUCCCAGCCUGUGUAUGUCACAGUCGUAUUACAUAUAUGUAGCAGCCUUUAAAAAAUGGACCCACCUAAACAGAAUGGGAAGAGCUGCCUGGCAGAGAGACAGUUUGCCCCAGAGGGGACACUGUAGGCUCUGAGGGCAAGUGAAGCUGUUUGGGAGCAGCCCUGUUGGAAGUGGGAGGGGUGAUGUAACCCCAGCAAAGUUUGAAAGAGAGCCAGUUAGGAAAAGCCCGGGAAGGGCCCUAAGCUGGGAUUGGCUGAGAGGCUUGGAUAAAAGGGGGAGCAGUUUUUCCUGUGGGGGGAACAAGAGAGAGAGAGGGCUGAGGGACUGGCUGGAGACCGGAUUCAGAGUCUCAGCGCAGUGGUCCCUCGGACAGCCCCUGAGAGAGGCCUGCAGGAGCAGAGUGGAGAAGCUGGCGGCAGGAGCAGGCAGGGACUGCUAGUGUGGAGAUCCCAAGUCUGAAGAGACCUGACUGCAGCUGGUGUGGCUGGGUGAGCACAGCAGAGCUGGCGGGGGGACUGCUGGAGUCUGCCCUAGACUCCCUGAGGGGCAAGGGGCCCCAGGGGCAGGCAAAGCCCAGGGAGGGGCUGCAUUUGCUGGGGCUGUGAGGCUGUGUGGGGCAGAAGGGUUGCUAUAGCCUGCAGCCCAGACACUGCUCACAGCAGAACCAGGGAAGGGGGGCAAAGGCAGGGGAAGGCUGUCUUGCAGGAACUGCAGAGGAGUUGCUGCUUGCUGCCUGGAGACCCCAGGAACACGGAGACGGACACCAAUGCCAGGGAGCGUCUACAGACCACGUGCAGGGACACAGACAGUCCCGCUCCCUGAGAUACCCCACCAGGGGCAGUGCACACGGGAUCCCCAGUACACCGUGUACAAAUCUCCAAGUUUGUUAUUGCAAAAGAAAAAAAAAUGCACUGGCAUUGAAGAGAGAGCCUGAACGUGAGAUGAAUGGGAAGACACCGUAUAUGUUCCAGUCAGGCUGAUAUUUUGAAUGUCACAGGCAGAAAUCAAAAUGUGGUGUGAUAAAGUGCUUGUGAGUGGCCUGGUCAAAUUCCCAUUUCUCAUUUGAGAAGGGCACAGCUUUUCGUUAUGUAAUGCAUGUCAAAUGCAGAAAGCUUGCAAAUUACUUUGGCUUCUAAGCAAACAAGAUACAAAACUAGGUACCUAAAUGAUUCCAGGUUUCUGAGGGUUAUUCAAACCAACACAUUUUUGAUGGCUAAAUCAAUCUAUCCAUCUCUCUCUUCAGUUUCUUCAGUACUUAGCAGAAUGAUAACUAAAUAACUUUUCCUGUGACACACAGCACAACUGUCAACAGAACCUCUGAAAUGAGACCUUCAAAGGUGUCUAAUGGAUUUAUACACCCAAUUUCCAUUGACAUUGAUGGGAAUGGGACCUCCAAAUCCUCCAGAUAGGUGUAGAAAUCUCAGCAGUGGUGCAUUUACCAUGUAACUACACUGUCUUUUUCUCUGUGGUGCAUUUUACAACUGUGGGGGGCUCCUAUAGAUUUGGGCAGCCAUCUUUGUAUGCUACUCAAGGCAGACAGUCAGAGAAAAACACACAAUGCUUUGCUUUGGAGAGAUUAUUUAACCUCUUAAUCUAAAAUAAAGUUAAUCCAAUUAAAGUA